AGGGACUGCCUGAAAUGAAAAGUGGCUCUUUAGAAACAAGGAGGAUUUUAUCGCUCAGGCAGAAGCCUCAUAAAGGCUGCCAUGAGAUUUGCCUCGAACAGUUAGGAAGGCACCUUCAUCACAGAAGGCCUGCAAAGCUCAGAGUAAAGUGCCCAUGAGAAACCGCGGAGACAAUUAACCCCUUAUAAUAUUUCUGAAAGGAAAUAUCCAGAAUCCUGGAAGAAGAAAAUUAUCUUGUUUAAAUAGCUUUUAAUUAACUGCAAGGAACCAUGAAACCGUUUUGAGUGGAGUCAAAAGGGGCCAUUUGAGCCGCAGAGACACUAUCCCAACAACCAAAACAUUGAACUUUCGUGGCAAGCUUUGGUAGCACACAGGCCUUCAGCUAUUUUACUGUAGUGCAUAUGUUAUGUGUCCACAAAGCUACGAACAAUUUUUGCUUAAGGAAAUUGACUUUUCAUUGUGAUGAAAAUCCACGAGGACAGGAGAAAAAAAGGAGAAAAGGCCAAGAAGAAGAAAAGAAAUGUGUUUCUUACAUUCUGAGGAAAAUCAGCAGAAUAUGUGAAGUUUUUUGUUUAGUUUUUUUUUAAUUCCUGUUGCAGAUAACUUUUUUGCCUCAUUGAGAAAGAUGACUUCUGUAAAUCAUAACCCUGUAUGCUAACAGCUAGUGAUCCAAAAUGAAGACAGUUUUCCCCACCAUUUCCAGCAGGAGAGUCCAUUGGAUGAUUCUCACCAUGUCUGGGUCCUUGUGCCCAGGUUUCAGUCAAUUGCUCCUCCCAAAGGGUUGCGGUGUGAUCACUGGCCUAGCACAGCUUAAAUGCUCGGGCUUGUUGUCAUGGAGAACAAAAUACAAAGAAUGAUGAUUCCAGCAAGACCACAGGUGAAAUAUAUUCCGACGAAGAAUGAGAAAUCUAUAGCAUAAUUUGAAUUGUUGAAAACAAGGAAAGAAAUAUCAAAGGAUGCCAUUUAUAGGAUAAGAAUAGGAGGUAAUUGAAAAUUCGAUUUUAUUAGGGCAAAAGCUAACAGUUUGAAACCAGUAUAAAGCACUGGGUGUCUGGGAGAAAAGGAAAAGGAAAGGAAGUUGGGAAGGACCUCAGGCCUAAGAAUGCACAAAUGUCAUUUAUGUGGAAAUUGCACCUUCAAUUUUAAUACCAACUGAUAUCUGAUGUUUCACAGAUAUAUUAUUAUUAAUUAGAGAUGUUACAAAAUUCUGCCUAAGCAAACCCAUCUCUCCAGAUCAGGUGUAUAUUUCUAGCCAAAUUCUACUCCUAUGUGAAAGGAUACAAAGCAAAAUAAAAUAAAAUCAAGAAAUACGAA
ensembl:lncRNA novel transcript